ACAAUUUCAACCAUUUUAUUGCUGUACAAUAAGUAAUUAAAAACUACUUAUAUUAAAAGAAGAGUUAUUAAGAUUAUUAAAAGUUAAAUACAAGAAAUAUUUAUUUUAAUUCUAUUUACUUAAGCUAUUUGUCAGAAUCUUAUAUCAUAAAUGUUUGGUUUUCUUAAUUAACCGGUUAAUAAUUUAUCCUUCAUAAAAAAGUAAGAGAAAUUUAAUUUCAAAAGUGCUAAAUUAUCGCGAACUUCCGGUACAUUUCUUUUUGCUACGGAUAACCAUAAAAAUCAUAAAUCACGUUACAAAUGAAUUAUAAAUUACAUUCGAUGUUAUGGAAGAUUCAUACUUGGUAGUUGGCUAUGUUCAUCUUCUAUAUUUACAGACGAUGUAAUGGUGCGCGCGCGCGCGCGCGAGAAACCGAUAAUUUUCUCGUAACUUUCUCCCCUUCUUCGCUUUCUCAGGGUAGAAGUAUCUCCGUGCAAUCAAUGAACAAGUGUCACGUUGACUUUACAUUCUAUCAUCUUUGUCUUGACGUCUUAAUUUUAAUCGCAUUUAAAACGUAUCACAUUCUAUAUUUUUUUUACAUAAAUUCUAUUUUUAAAAUUUGAGUUUAAUUUUUUCGCGACGUAUCAUAAAAUAUGAAUACUUAUAUUUAUUACAUUUCAAAUAAACCCAGUGAAUACGUUAAAUCAUCACGGAAAUUCAUUUGUUCUUGUCUUCUUAAUCUUACAUUAGAAAUGAUAAAUAAAUUUCAAUUAUUUCAAUUGCGUUUAAUUUACACCGACGAUUAAUCUUGGAUUGUAUUCGCGAUAGAUUCGAACGAAAAUCUUAAAGUAAUAUUAUAAAAAAUCAGUUAUUUCUGUUUGAUUUCUUUCAGCGCAAUAGUUGCAAAGAUGAUACACGCGCUUGUGUAAUCAACCAAUUUGCACAAUUUCUGGGCACACAUGGACCCCUCUUAAAAUUGCACCGCUUUUUUACCCCGUGUACUUUCCACAGUUGCAAUUGCAAACUGCAUUCCCGACUCCUUCGUCCAAUACUUAUCGACUUACGUAACUGUAAAUUCUCAUUGGAGAGUUCGUCUUUCCUUCUUUUCUCAUUUUUUUCACGAAUAGCCGAAGCUCGAUUCUCCGCUAUUAGCCAUGUGGAUUCACACAUGUAGGUCUUGAUUUUUCAUGGAAUACAAAUUUCUUAUAUAACGAUUAUCUUUCGUUUGUCGAAGAACAUUGAACAUACACAGUGCAUACAUUAUCAUAUUUAAAAAUACUUAAUCAAUUAUUAGAUGUAAAGUACGCAGAAGUCAAAUUGAUUAACUUCAUCAAGUCAAAUCAUUUGGAUUAAAAAAUUGAGCAAAAUGAUAUUUAAAUGUAGAAAUUUAAUGAAAUAAGAUAAAGAAUAAAGCACAAUAAUAAUCUACUUUUUUUAUUAGACUAUAAAAAUAUUAUAAAAUGUAUCUUUGAUUAACCGUUUAUAAAAAUAAAUACUUCUUUCAUUCGAUUAUGAUGGAAUAAUUUUAAUCAGUCAUGUUUAUGACAUCAGAAAUAAUUGGCGCCAAUAAAGAUAAGAAAGAAAAAAGGGAUAUUUGUGAAAUUCUUUUCAUAAUGAAUUCCUCGUUUCUUUUUUUCUUUUUUUUCUUUUUUUACAAAAUAAAAUUUUGCUAGCCUCAAAUAUAAUUAAACAAAUGAAGGAUAUGAGUAAUCAGCCAAUAAUUCUUAUCUAGUCCCAUAAUUUUAAAACACGAUAUACUCGAAGAGAUUAAAAAAAAUAAUAAAAAGAACUCGUCCAUCCGCACAUUAAUGAGAACAGGACCCGUGUUUUAAGCAAUUGGCAUCAGCUGAAAAACUUGUGUCACGGAAACGGGAUUAGCGAAAGUAAAACAACGGGUAGGACCAUUGUAAAUGUGCACGUUUUACGAGCUCGACAAAUCCUCUUCCCAUAAUUGGCCGAGUGGAUCGCAUUGUGCGUCACCAUGCCCGCGUUUUUCUCUCCUUUCACACGCCGCGACUUCUUUGCCGUUGAUAGAUCGUAUGAUUACGCCUUCUUCGUGGAAAAAGUUCAUUGUAAAUUUUGAAAAAAUAAAAUAAUUAAACUCAAUGAGAAAUCUUUGUUUUAAGAGAGCAAAAUGUAUAUCGCAAGAGACAAAAAUUAUAUGUUUGAACGUUGGCGAAUAUUUUCAUUCAUUUAAAUAUUGUAAACGUUUUACGUAACUGUGACGGUUUUGAAAAUAAGAAUCCUUGAGGCAUGUAAUCUCACCCUACAAGUUCGAACUGGAGCAUGGAUGGAUCUCAUUGCGUGCGCGUUUUUCUUCCUUUCGCACGGCUUCUGCCUGGCAGGCACGUUUAUGGAUUAUGUACAGCUCUUACAAAAUUUCACGGAGAAUCUCACAGUUCCUCUUCUUCUCUCCUUUCCCCUUUCUCGACCUCGCCAUCCCUGGAAGAGGCGUCGCACUUUCCCUGGACUUCGUACGUGGUACAUACGUAAGUCUUUCUAGAAUGGCUGAAUCGAAAUUGAUAUUUCGAUUUUCUCAUGGUUAGCGAAAAAAUAAUACUUUCUCGAUUUCGAAUAUUUCUUUGUGAAUUAUAAAAAGACAAUGACGUCGAAAUACAAAAUACAUCAUAUCAAAACGUGCAACUGAAAUUUUUCUUGCGAGCAACCAGAUGGCGAACAUAAAAAACGACAGCUUAGUAACAAAGUUACUAAGCUGAUGUUUCGAUGGCUGCAAAUCGCGAGGAAAGAUUUUACGAGAGAAUAAAUUAGAAGCAAUAUCUCCUCUUUUCUUGUUCAACAACUUCCGCUCUUUCGAUAUUAAUUUUUCAUUGUCUAUAAUAUCUUCCAAGCAUCGAAUAUUUGCUUGAUUUGAUUUCUGAAAAGUGCAUUAUAUUUCUCUUGCGCAAAGCCUGCAAGAUUAAGCGCGAAAAAAUUAUGUAGAAUAGAGAAACGUCUCAGCGUAAUGAUUUAAUUUAACUCUAAUAUAGGGUUUGCCAUAUAUUCCUCAUCAUAAUGUGUUUAAUUGCAUUAGUCUCGCAUUGUGAGAUGCUGGCUGAUUACUCAAUUCUGCUUGCUCCGAUUACUCAAUUUCUAAUUACUUGAUUUGCAGCGAACUCGAUCGAAUCGAGAUUAUUUCGAACAUAGUCAGAAUUUUCUGCAUAAAUAUAUUAUUGAUUUAAUUAUACUUUCAACUAGAUGUAUCUUAAUAGAUGCAUCGUCCAUUCCUCUCGUUACACGAUAUAAAUCUCAUAAGGCACGGACGAUGAGCUUCUCCAAUGGAGGAAAUUCUCAUAGCUGACUUAAUAAAUCUGUUACGUGUACCGAUUGCAUAAACAAUGAAAUCUAAACACACGUAAGCGAUUUAAUGCGGCGUAUCACAACUCAUUACUCAUCCUUUAAACGUUUCCAUUAUAGUUGUUAUAUUAUAUCGAAUCGCAUGUGUAAAAGUUUCCGGUAAUUUUUGAUAACGCAUUUCUCAUCGAACGGUCUGCUGUCUGGAAUUUUAUCAAUUUCGCCUUCGAAAUAUUGCUCCAUUAUUUGCUUCUCGAGAAUACAUUUAAUGACGUUAAAUUGAGAGUACGUAAAAUGUUGAAGAACUCGGGAGGCGAGUAGAAUAGCGAAACCACUUUCGAAUCCCUGACCGGUGUCCAGACUUCUUCGGCCUGCUUUGCGAGCAUCUGUUAAACGCUGAGAAUUGACGUCAUGUCCAGGCUGGAGAAGCUCGUGUGCCCCUUGGGAAGGGAGGAGGGGCUGAACCGUUGGUUCUGAUCGGUGCAGUGAAAGGAGAAAGGCGGUCGAUGGACAAAAAGAAAAAGAAAAAUUGAUCGUCUUUAAAGGAGGAGGAGGAGGAGGAAUAUUCACGUAGCUGCGGGCGAACACCCAGGGGUCACGAGUGGAUCGGGACCUAGAACGAAGAUCGAAGUCGUAAGAUUCGAAAAGAGAAGAGAGAUCGAAAGGAAAGAGAAAUUAAGAAUAAGGAAAGAACGACGAGAGCUGGAGAGAAGAGUCGGGGAGAAGUUGAACGAAGACGAAAUUGAACACAGGCGGUUGUUUCAACGGUGGCGACGUUUUUUUUUAUUUUUUUCUACAAAAAAGCCUUUAUACAAGUAUAAAAAAAUGCGUGGUUAAGGAGUAGCGUUUAAGACAUAUAAAAAAUAUAAUGUAUCUGUGUGUUUACGUGUAUAUUUGUGUCAGCGUCCGCUACGUUUCUCGAUUUUCAUUUUCUUUCAAUCCUUUUAAUUCUUUUCUUUUCUUUUCUUUUCUUUUUUUAAUUAUUCAAUACGUUAGGCAUCAUUGAUCUUUCUUGGAAUAACUGUUAGGCCAGAUUCGAUGACGUACGCGUUCAGUUCCUCCUCGUACUCUUGGAUGACGUAGCGUACGCUGUGGAAAGCGUGUAAAUUGUAUUUACAAGGCGCUUCUAUGCGCCGAUCACGGCUUCGACUUCGGCUCCGGCACCACGGCUAUGUGCCAUUUCGAAGUCAUAACGAAUGAUGGUAACAUUGAAUCUCUUUUGAGAUCGUUUUCUAUAGUAGUUUGUUUCUCUUCUUUUUUUUUCCUUUUCUUUUCUUUUUUUUUUUCUUUUUUCUUUUUGCGACAGCUCAUUUUUUAUCACUUGGUACGUUAGAUCCCUCGUGGAUCCGACCGCGACGACGACGAUUUUGGUACGAUAAACGAAACGACACCCCGUCGACUCUCGGAUCGUUAAAUCUAGUAGCCGGUCGUUCGAACCGUUUCAAGUUCACUCCACGAGCCCUGACCCGUUGAAGCGACGACCUUUUUAUUCCUCAACGAGUCAAAGACCUGGAGCUUUCGUACUUGCCCUUUAGCACGCACGCCCGCGAUUCCUUCGAGGAUCAUGGCCCGUUGAAGCGACGACGAUUUGAUUUCAACGAAACAGGAUCCUUUGGAAUCCCUGCUCGAUGUUACCUUGUACGUACAUCCUUUGUGAUCUUAUUUUCGUCCUUUAUUUUUCUCUCCCCUCCCCCCUGAGAAUCCUGAAAACGUCGAACGACCACGAUAUUCGUGUUUGAAAAUAAUCUUUCCAUCUUCUAAUAUUCUUCUUAACGAUUUAUCCGUCUUACGACCAUCUUCCGAGCGGAAGGUUGGGGAAGAAUUCGUGCAUCUCGUUUGGAAAAAAGAUCUUACUAUCGAUCGACUGUAGCAAUCCUGCUUCUCCUUCCUCUUGCUUUCGUUGAUCGAGUGUCAGCUCGGAAGAUAAUCGCGGUGGCCGACGCGGUGUCUCCACUCGCUCUCUCCCUUUCGCUCCUUCUCUUUCUCUCCCUCUCUCUCACUCUCCCAUCAUCCAAUCCGCAUUGUAUAGUCCGAUGAUCCGCAUUUAGUACGGUGCACCGUAGCUACCGCUUGGUCUGCUCGGUACCCCGUAGCUUCCGCUCGGGCCGCUUGGAUAGCCGCCGGGCGCAUGGCUCACUUGGUUGAACUGGGCCACCUGGAUGGCCUGCCUGAUUCCAUCGAGAUCGAUGCCUACCACGCGGGUCUGGUAACUCGGUACACCGUAGGAUGAGCUUGGUACACCAUAUUGGGAGGAUGGAGCGCCGUAGCUCGAGCUAGGGGCGUAACCACCGCCGGUGCCUCCUCCGAAUCCGCUGUUCUGCUCCUCCCUCAGGAGUAUCUGACGGAUCUGCUCGAGCAACGCGCCGUCGAUGGAUGCUCCCUCGCUGGUUUGAUAGCCGGUGGACACCGAGGUAUAUCCACCACCCCCGCCGUGCGAGAAACCACCGCCGCCACCACCACCACCGCCGAAGGAAUAACCACCCCCUGAUGGUCUGCUGUAGCUGUAGCCGGACGGUGGCUCCGCGAGGGCGAACCCUGCUAGACCGACUAUUAUACACUGGAAAGAAAGAGAAAGGAUAUUAUGACAAGUAAAACGUUUCGAGGAUAAAGUUGGUCGAAAAAGUGAAACGUAAUCCCUGCGAGAAAGUAAGCGAGUAGUAAGUAGUCCGAAAAGGAUUUGGAUCCAGGCGGUCGAGCGAAAGAAAAUUCGAAACCGUUACGAUCAUCGAAGCGUGAUUGGUAGAGGAAAGAGAAGUCGCACGAUUCGAGAGGGAAAGCAGCAACGCGAGAUAUCGGCGUCUUUAACGUGGAAACUCGAGUAUAUUCUGCUGGGAUAAGGUAAUCGAUCGAGUAGGUGAUGUGCGUAAUCCUAAAAAAGAAAGAUUAUUAGAAUUUGGGGCUAAUGAUAGAUGGACACGUUUGACGGAAAUCGAGGACACCGAUCACUUUUAAACUGAGCAUCCCGCAGGUUUCACUUUUCGAAAAGAUAAUCUACACUUAGUCCAUGCACUCUCACACUCGCUCUCUAUCUCUCUUUCUCUCUUUCGCUUAUUUUCUCUCCGACUCGGGAUAAUAUUUAAGAGAAUUUAUCGUGCUUACCGCGAUCAGAGGAUUCAUGUCGGCUUCUGCGAUGCCGCUCUGUUCUGUGACUCUGUGCAAGGUAGACCAGGGUCCUUUAUACUCCACGAGAAGCAGGGGGAUACUUGAAGCCCCCACGUAGAAGAAGAGACGGGGGCCUCUCGAGUGAGAGUAAUUCAGCUGUGAGACGAUUCUCUCUUCCCCUCUCUCUCCGCGCCACCCCUCUGUCCUUUCAAUUGUGUUCGUCUCUCUCUCUCUCCGACGAACGAUACACCUAGCCUCAUCCUCCUCGCUCGUCCACCGAUUCCUCGACCCUCUGCCUUCGGGAAUAGCCGAAUUUGGACGAUCCAAACGGUUGCGAAACCGUUCUUCUUCUUCUUCUCGUCACGAUAGCCAUCCCAAGUUGCGUCCUAGACCUAGACUCUUGCUACACAUACGAAGUCAUCGGAUGAUUUCACAAAAUCUUUGAAGUCGAUCGUAAAACUUGGUUCGAUCUUGGCCCGGUUCCUUUCUUCGUAAUAAGUUUGUGUGACGCAAUAAGUUUUUCGAAGAAAUUUCUACGAAAUUGUUCAAUUAUUGGACAAUUUUGAUAUUUCGUUGUUUUAUUCUUCUUUUUUUUUUUUUCUUUUUUCCUUUUCACGAUAAACCUAGUUUGUAAAUCUGGUUGCGAAAAGAUUGUUUGUAUGUUGUCCUCAAACUUCUGGCGUAAUCGUCCAAGUUCUAAUUCGAGAUCGAUCGAUUCGUACGAUGCGUGUUAAGUACGAAUCGAUGGUACCAAAUCUUGUUAAAAUUUCUAUUUGUAUUCUACUGAUAUCUUCAUCGACUAGCCGUCUAUUAGAUUGAAUAAUAAACGAUGCAUGCAUUUCAAGGAAUACAAAUAUUACUUAUGCUUGAACAAAUAUAACUAAAGGAAAAGUUGCUGGAUUCUCGAAUAAUUUUAAUUUUCUUCCGUUUAAACGCAAAUCUCUAGAUUCUGCGUGGAUUAAUCGGAUAAAAUUUCCCUUUAUCCGUUUUUCUAUAAGGAAAAUUUCACUCGAAUAUCUCGUUCGAUAAUACGACUAAUCAAUUCAAGCCUCGGAACGGAUAUCUCAUAACCAAUUUCCGCGUAUUCUCGUCGAACCCGUUUCGUUUUUAGAGCACAGGAAGCAGCGAUAUUUCAUUUUCACUUUAAAUCUGUUAAAUAAUCUAUCGCUCUAUUUUUACACAACUUCGUGUCGACCAGUAUUCCAGCGGGCUAAACGAUAAAAACGAUUUCAAAAUUCGUCCGAGCAGUGAACCGUGAUUCUACGAAACUCGUGAGAUCAUUAACAGGAGACGUCAUUAAUUCUUUGUGCCCAUUUUACGUAACACGAGAAAAAGACGUGUAUUCGCAGUUAUCGAACGUAACCUCGAAGGCACCCGUUAGAUGGUCGACUACUGAUCUCCAAGAGGAGAGUAUCAGGAAGAAAAGUAACGUGGCCGACUGCCAUCGGUCCUCGUGUAGGUUCCUCGCGUAACCUUUUUGCUAUUCGUUUCGCCCGGUCAACAGGCGUUGACUGCAGAUAAAUCUGCAAAGAUGCACGCACGGUUAAAUGCAAAAUAAUGAUCAGACGAUUUCGAAUACGGUUGUCCAACAAUCGUAGGUCCGUGCAAAAGUGAUGGUGGCCACGAAACGAAUGGGAAAACGCUUUCUUCGUCGUAGAAUUUAAUUACGCGGCUCGUGAACUCUCGACCCACUUCUUGAUACGAUCCGAUCCGAUGUUCCUGUCAUCCUUCGCCUCUUCCUUCGCCUAUGUUCACCGGGUUCGCGCCAUUUCCGGUGCGUCCUUCGCUCGCGCGCACUCCACUCGUGGUUACGUUAGCCUUUUCUCGUUCUAAGAGAACGUUCGAUUGUAACGGGAGUGCGAUUCGUUUCUCACUUGGAAAAGCAGUUGUGUAUGCAUUUCGUAAAUCUUACGUAUCGAUAAAGGAUAAAUUAUCGACGAGGAAAACAGGAAAUUAGACGUUUUCUUGUUCCUCUUGUCGAUUUUUUAAUUCGUAAUAAGGGAAGUCGUAUCGGGUAAAAUUGCAGCGUUACGAAACGUGUAUGCGCAUACACGUAUACACGUUACACGUAUAUGUAUCUGAGUUAAGAUGCUGUUUCUUUGAGAAAAAAAUACCAUCGAUCAACGCUUUGCGUGGAUAAUUUAAUUUAAAUCCACACGGAGUUAUCUUCGUGUUUAUUUGCCUCGAGUAUUUUCUUUUUUUCUUUUUUUAUUCGGUUCACAUUUCAUCUGAAAUUUUUCUGAUAAAACAUUGUCCCGUGACUCGUUAUUUCAUCUUUAUUAAACGGCCGAGUAAUACGCAUCGGUGUAUAUAUACCGAGAUUGGAGCGGAGGUUCCGAUAUUCGAACGGUGGACAUCGAAUCUGAACGAUAAAGAACGAUAAAUAGCUUGUUGCAAUGUAUUUACUAUGUAUCUUGCCGUUUCUUGCACGGCAAUUUAUCCAGGUAUAUUUUAAACGAAUUGUACGAGAGAAAGCCAAAGCUGCGGAGGUGGGUCGAAUAUCCCCUUGCAUCUCAUUACAAAACUAUAUACGAAUCGAUCGUACGACUUUAUCUUUAACCUCGGCCGGGAAUACCCUUCAAAUUGCAUUCUUCUUCGUAAUUAUACCUUUCCUCGAAUCAUCAAUUACUCGUAUCGUGAGCGUGAAAUUGGUUAAACAUUUUUCAAACUGGAGGAGGAGGAGGGAGGGGGACACACGCACGCACACACACCUCCUCUUUCUCCGUGUCCGAAAAGGAAAAGUGAGGAGACGCUGACCUACUUCGCGGAAUGAUACAAGCGGUGAAAUAUAUAUCGUGUCGAGCAAGGGUAUCGAAGAACCGGGUCGAGGAUUAAAGCGAGGAUUAGUUGGACGGUGGACGCGCGUGCAAAAAUUUCGAUUUCCUCGAUCGGCCGCCGCGAUCCAUCCCGUUGCUCGUCGAUCUCGAUGACUGUGUAUAAUAUUCUCGAGCCCUCGAGUCACGUCUCCCGCUGCAUCCGAGUUUCUCGGAUAUUAAUGUUGCAGGGUCGCACGAAAGAAGGGGAAUCCGUGGAGCCUGGGGCUUGACUUUCGCUCGUCCGUUACAGCUUCUCUCGAGAUCGGUCCUCUUCCUCCUCCUGUUGUUUAGUCCGUUACGUUUUUAUUCCCAUCCCGAUGGAUCGGCCUGAUCACAAUCGAAUCGUUCCCUCGAAUUGCUUUAAAAGAGAAAAGAACACGUUUGUCGACAGCGUGUUUUAUGGGCUUGCAGAGUUUCAUCCGGAGGAUUGGUUUCACGGUUAUCCAACUUUUAUGGGAUGCAUCCUGCGCACCAACUUUCUUCGCGAGUCGCGAGAUAAAAGCUAUCCCAGGGAUAAUUAAGAAUUUCCCAUGAUUUUUAUUAAUUGUUUAUUCGAACGAUUAACGAGUCUCUUUGAUGUAAGAUCGUAACUUUCACGCUAUCUUUUUUUUUUGUGGGAAACUUGCAUUACGAAAAUAUCCUAAAUAUCGAAAGGAAAGCAUUUACUGUUUGGCCUUGGUCUUCGGAUAAAAAAAAAAAUCAUAUAAAUUUUGUCGACUUAUAUAAAGCAGAUUUUUUUCGAUUGCCCAAGCAAGCGAAAGAAUUUCGUAGAUUCUCUCGAAGUUUUUUCGAGGAAUAGAAACUUGUGCGCUUCGGUUUGUCUGCGGCUCGAUACUUCCUCGACGCUUUAUCUUGAGAAUGAUCGUAUGAUCGAGCAGGACGCAAUGGGAAUCCCGCGAAAAAAAGUCUAACAUCGUAACGAAAUCGCGUGUAAUCACCGUGAGGUGAAAGGCUGAAUUCGAAGUGAAAGGUGAAGGGAAAAUUAUUUUUAUAUUUAUGGUACUCGGGAAAAUUUGGUACUUGUUAAGAAGGGGACGAUUGUCGGUGGUGUUAUUUCUAAUCAGAUUCGAGGAGGCGAUUCGACUUAUCGUGGAAUCGUUGGUAACAGGUUUGCAUAGUAAUAAUGGGUAUAAACUAAGCAAACAAUGGCGGGAACGGUGGAAUACUUGACACAUUAGCAUGCUAAUAAGAAUAUUUGAGUCACGUAAAUAUUUGUCGCACAUCGAUUUAAUUAUAUUUCACUUCGGUAAAACGAAUAAUUGAAAAUAAGCGUUUUUAACAAUACUUUGGAAAUUUCCAAUGAUUCACAAAUAUAUUUCACUAGAUUUCUUGCGCCACUUGCGUGAUAAAUCGGAUACACUUUUUCUUGUCACUUGGAUUAAAUCAAGACGGAUUGAGGACAAUUUUUCUUUUUUUCUUUCUUUCUUUCUUUUCUUCCUUCUUUUUUUUCUGGCACGAUGUACUGGUAGAGAAAGAAAUUUUAAGAUGAUCCGAUUAAGAUGAUCAUUACGUUUGAGGGAGCUGCUGUGAAAGAAUGAUCCGUGGUAACUCGUUAGCGAUGUGCAGGUAACCGAGACAGGCGGUACGAUUACGCAAAAUUGCUUACGGGAAACGGAGUAAGCCUGCGUUUAAUCGUUGCACAAGAAAGGAUGCCUCCCUUCCCUGUAACUAAACCGUGCCCAUAAUACAAAUCGUGUCUUAAAUCGUUUAUUUAUACGUCCACCAAGACUUUUGCUCGAUUAUACGAUUAAUCGAGAAGAGAAUGGAGUUCGAAAAAUUCGAAACUUAUAUUUAAAAUAUCCCGUGCUCGUAUGAAAGUUUGGUAGCUCGUUUCACCUGCAGCAUCAGAGGGAAUCCGGUGAUGAAAGUGGCCGUAGAGUGGACGAAUUUGAUUCGUUCUAAGGUAAUCGGGCACGGUGAAACCCGGCAAGGAUAUAAAAUGACCUCAUCGUCGGAAGAAAUUGGUAUACGAGCGGGCAGAGAGCAUGGCAUAUUGUGAGAGCCAGGGCCCGGCUAAACUCGCAACAUCGUUAAUGAGAAUUUUUCUUCGCGUAUCUCGGCCGUUACAUCGUUGCGAUGUUUAUCGAAAUAAGAACGAAACGUUGAUCGCGGAUUGCUCGAACCAACGGAAGGCCAACGGUACGGCAUAUAUUCUCGACAAUAAAAAAGCGAUAAAUACAAUUUUUAUCCUCGUUGAAACAGCGUAUGAAAGAUACAAUAACGCGACAAAAGGAGCUAAUCCCUCGUCGGUUUAUUUGCAUAUGAAUAUAUCGUCGGGAUUUAUUUCGCGUCGGUUGAGUCGUAAUUAAUAACUUCCGGACCGAUUUUCAUUCAUAAAUUAUAAAAAUUUCUUUCCUCGCUAAUCGACGCUGCGUCGAAAUCCCGAAUGAUUUGUAUCGAAUCUUAUACAAUGGUGAUUGUGCUCGCUCAAUAUACAUAUAUAUAAAAAUUACAGUAUCGCACAAUGAUAUCCAUCCGGCAAAGGCCGGUAAUACCGUGGCCAAACGUCCUAGAAGAGCGUCACGAACAUCUUCCCAUAAUUAUCACCGUGGUAUGUGAAAACUGGAGAAACUCUUCCGGUUGGUUUAUACCGGUCGAGCCAGGUCGAGAUAGAACGCGAACCCAUCUAAUUUUUCAGCACCCAUCGCAUCGCCGUUUAAUAACAUCCGUACCAGAUCUUGCCAGAGGUAUUCUCCUCUUCUCUCUCUCUCUCUUUUUCUUUCUUUUUUAAUCAUUUGAUUAGAAAAGAGAAUGGCGGCAAUUACCCGAGCUACUUUCCUCGAGGCAAAGUUUCCUCAAUUUUGUUACUAAACAGGCUUGAAAAAUUAUCGUCUUAUAUAAUGUUUAAUUGAUACUUUUUUUUGAAGUAAUUUAGGGUCGUAAUUAAGAGGAGGAAUUAAAAAAGAAACGAAGAAGAACACUUCGUUUGAAAAUAUCUUUCGUUAGAAAACGAGUUAAAGAGUAUAAAUAAUAGACUUUUAUGUUCGAUGAUUAAAAGAUCGAUCGAAAUGAUAGAUAACGAUAAUCGAGUUCGAUAUUUCUCGAGAAAUAUAACACUAUUAUUUUUGUUAAGAUCAAUAAAUUUCGUCAUAUUUUAAAUCUUAUCGCGGGACCAAGUAUAAAAUUAUAAUUGCAAAUUUGUCUUUUAAGAAGGAAAGAGAGAUGUGUUAAUUUAUUCAAGAAUUUCAUUCCUCCGCUUUUACUGCAGCCAUUAUACGAGAUCGAUGGUUGGAUUGUGCGAUACCGUUAAUUUCACGAGAUUUUUGACACUGUUUCGCGAAUUUAAGGAAUUCAUUAUUGUCCCUGCUACGCGGCUCAAAGUGUCAAGCGUGUAGGGGGAAUUAGUUGUUUCUCUCCUUUCGCUUCUUUCUAAUCAGCUUGGCACCGUUUUAAUCUCGUCGCUUUCCUUUCCGGCUCAAAAUGCUUAUUUGGCACGGCGUAACGUCCAUUAAAAUGCCUCCUUUGCCAUCUUUCAUGCCCGCUAUACAUACUUUUACCACCUUCGCGUCACGUCAUUUGCACACACUUAAUUUAUCUCUACUUCUUUCUUCUUUACGUAAACGUUAUCGCGUAACCACGCGUGAUCAACCGUUCCCUCGACAGACGAUUGUCAAUUAUCUGGUUUAAUCGACGAGAAUUGAGAUAGGAAUAAUUGUCGCUCGUAAGUAACAACGGUUUCGAAGCAAGAAAGCGAUGUUUGAGAAACGUCCUAGGAACGUAACGAUCCCAGAGAAUGAAUGCAAUUAUCAGAGGGGGGUCGCUCUUUAUCGGAUCGCUUUCUUCGUAAAAGGCACGGAGUAGCGACCUUUGCAGAGGUCGCUUGAACGACGCUCGAGUUUCACCAGCAGGCUCAUCCCACGCGUUUGCCUCAUCGAACCUCGUUUAAACCGAGAUCGAGCCUCGCGCACUUCCUUCUUCCUGUGAAGAAGGGGGCAGAUCACGACGAGGAACCCGUGCGAAACAUCGAAAAUUGUCGGGUUCACGAGGAAAUACGAGAGGUGAUCCGCGCUGGUGAUCAAUCACGAUUUGUAAUUUGGGACAACCGUUUGAUACGGAAGAGAGUGAGAGAGAGAGGUAGUUUGAUUUCGUGAUCUUCGGUGAUUUCGCGUGUCUUGUUGACGAGAGGAGAAGGUAGCGCUCGAUUCCUCUGUCGAUGUAUCGAGAGUGUGUAUGAUCGGUGAGGAUGGUUUCCCGCUAGUCCAAUGGUGGAUCGUUUCACGUAAUGGUUUAUACUCUCGCGCAAAUCGCGUAGAAAGUUGUGAUAAGAAAAGAAGUGGUGAAGUUGUCGCCGGAGAUUUCUGUGCCGUCCAAGAUUCGUUUCAGAGACGCGUUCAAGGCGUCUCUCUGCUUUAUGAACGAAUACGUGUCAUUCAAGAAUGUCUCGCGUUAAAUUGCAACAAAAACCUUGUUAAUAUUCAUCAAACGUGUUCCGUUAUUCAACCGUAAUUCAACGGGGAAAUGUGACACGUGCACUAGGUUUAUCGCGUAUAUCACAUCUGAUACAAACACACCGACGUAUGAUUUAUCGCACCGCGAUUAUGCACACAGUUCUUCUCGUAGUCCACGAGGAUCAUAGAUUUUCAAUUUUUCACAUCUUUUAUCAAACUGACUAACUAACUUAUUAAUAAAUUAAAUCGUCGACGAUUCUUAAUAACCAUCAUUUCUAUGCACAAUCAUUAUCGAUAGUUUUCAGGCAUUCUUUAUCGAUGUAUUAUGUAAGUUUUAUUAUGAGAUUCCAAUCACAUCGUAUAAUAAUGAAUAUAUCGAACGUAUAAGCUUCCUAUUCCCAGAGGAGAUGUAUAUUAUAAUCUCUCGCACGAAUACAUAGAUAUUUCUCUUAGGAAUCGGAGAGGAACGGACGGGAACAAAAGACAGCCGAUCAAAUGACGAACGAUAGAUAAUUAUCCGAUACGAAUGGAUUAUAAAUAAUCCGGGAUCGAUAAAUGCAUGGAUCGAUGGAAGAAGGCUAGCGCAAAAAAAAAAAAAAAAAAGAAAAAGAAGCAUGGAUGAUGACCCGGGUCGCUCUCACGCGUUGUGUCUCAGCUGUUCACUUCCGCUAGUGAAAGGUGCAUGCACACUCACCUGGUCGUCUAUGGUAAAAUGCGCUUACGUACACCUACGUGCAUCCUUGGUGUGCGCAUCUGACUAGCCAAGUACACCUCUUCUGUCAGUAACCGGCGAUGUUUGCCUGGAAAGGCAGUCUUAGAUCGACGCAUCACUCUGAUUGAAAUUCUAACGGGUGUCCCGCGGGAAAAACGAUCAGAUUUCUACGCGCGUGUUUAACUCGAAAGGCGAAAUCAAUUUCGUACGUCGUAUCGCAUUCGUUUAAAACUACUAUUUCGCCGCUUGAAUUCAUCCUUACGGUUGAAUUUAGAUUCAAUCUUUUUCUACGGGAAAGAAUUCUAUUAAUGAUAAUAAUAAUAAAAAAAAAUUGGAAGGUAGAUAUCCGAGAAACGAACCUUCGAUCGGGGUUUUUUGGAAAUUUUUUCGAAGGAUUGCAUUGAAAUUAAAGCUGUAAUUUUCUUAACAACGCAAUGAAUUUGUUGCGUAAUCAUUUGUAUUUAUAGAUUUUCCCGGGUGAAUCUUGCAAACGUUCAAUAGGAAUAGGAGAGGCGGCGAUCGAUUUUAAGGAGAAAAAGAGAAAUGCGGAAAGACGAAUGAUCGUUCAAGAGGGACUGUUCUUUCGCGGAUACAAAGUAUUUCUUUCUUUUCUUUCUUUCUUCCUUUUUUUUUAUCUUUUUUUGUUAUGAAAACGUGUUAACUCGCGUAUCGAUAAC